AACGUACUACACCGAAGGCUGCGAAUUAACUUAUCAGGAGAAACGACAUCUGGUCGGAUUUUGUAGAGAUCUUGAGAAUUACAAUAUCUACAAUCAAACUCCUCAACAUUAUGGUCAAUACGUGCCACUAGUGCACGUGUUGAACUACGGUAACUACCAUGGAGAUACCUUGAUAAUCCCGAAUGAUUGUGUGCCUCAUCUGAUGUAUACGCGUGGUAGCCUUCAUGUUUUGAACAUACGACCAGGUCGUCCUACGAAUCUCAACUGUCCAUACCGGGUUUCUAAAAGAAGUGGAGACAUAACAAUCAAAGAAUGGAAAAAAUGUAUGGACAGUCGUAAGAAGCUUCUUGGAAGCAAUAAGCA
rnacentral:rRNA from 1 species